rnacentral:rRNA from 1 species
UCGUUAACGAACGAGACCUUGACCUGCUAAAUAGCCAGCCUGACUUUUGUUGGGCGCCGGCUUCUUAGAGGGACUUUUGGCUCAAGCCAAUGGAAGUACGAGGCAAUAACAGGUCUGUGAUGCCCUUAGAUGCUCUGGGCCGCACGGUAUGUAUUUUCUCCCCUUAUCUUCUCCUUUGUACCCCCUCCUUUUACCCCUCCAACAUUUAAAGACAUUUAACUAACGGUUUUAUAUAGCGCGCUACACUGACAGAGCCAGCGAGUACAUCACCUUGGCCGAAAGGUCUGGGUAAUCUUGUUAAACUCUGUCGUGCUGGGGAUAGAGCAUUGCAAUUAUUGCUCUUCAACGAGGAAUGCCUAGUAAGCGCAAGUCAUCAGCUUGCGUUGAUUACGUCCCUGCCCUUUGUACACACCGCCCGUCGCUAAUACCGAUUGAAUGGAUA